CCCAGGGACGGGGGAGCCUAGUGGGCUGCCGUCUAUGGGGUCACACAGAGUCAGACACGACUGAAGCAACGCAGCAGCAGCAGCAGCAGCAGCAGAAUACUUUAAAAGAUGCAGAUCAGGGAAUAACAAUUAAAAAUAUGCCUGAAGAGAAAAUAAAACUAUGUACACAGAUUACAAGGCAGUCCCGUGUGAGGUGAAAAUGAAGGAAGAUGAAAAAAGAAGAAUCCAGGAUGAAAGCAAUCCCAGGGCGGAAGCAACCGAAACAAAGCCAUCGCUGCUAAAGGCCAUCUGUUUCUGUAACCGUGGCUGCUCUUAUCCUCUUCCUUUACCCCAUGGACACCUUGAUGUCCUGCUUCAUUUUUAUUUUUCCAGUUGUGGCAUUUUCUGUUGGCCUUUGGUACCAUGUGAAUAAAGGAGUUCAGUCCAGGCCAAUACAAACCUAUUCAUAGGACUGUCUCACUUUCGCAACUCCCCCACCAGCCUGCCUUCUAAUGGUUCCAGUAAUUCGGAUUUAAAUCAUGCUAAAUCCCAUCUCCUCUUCUACUUGCUCUUAAUGAUUAAUCUAC